rnacentral:rRNA from 1 species
GAGUUUUGAUCAUGGCUCAGGAUGAACGCUAGCUACAGGCUUAACACAUGCAAGUCGAGGGGCAUCAGUUUGGUUUGCUUGCAAACCAAAGCUGGCGACCGGCGCACGGGUGAGUAACACGUAUCCCAACCUGCCUCAUACUCGGGGGAUAGCCUUUUACGAAAAGAAAGAUUAAUAUCCGAUAGCAUAUAUUUCCCGCAUGGGUUUUAUAUUAAAGAAAUUCGGUAUGAGAUGGGGAUGCGUUCCAUUAGUUUGUUGGCGGGGUAACGGCCCACCAAGACUACGAUGGAUAGGGGUUCUGAGAGGAAGGUCCCCCACAUUGGAACUGAGACACGGUCCAAACUCCUACGGGAGGCAGCA